GAUGAACGCUGGCGGCGUGCCUAAUACAUGCAAGUCGAGCGAACGGACGAGAAGCUUGCUUCUCUGAUGUUAGCGGCGGACGGGUGAGUAACACGUGGAUAACCUACCUAUAAGACUGGGAUAACUUCGGGAAACCGGAGCUAAUACCGGAUGAUAUUUUGAACCGCAUGGUUCAAAAGUGAAAGACGGUCUUGCUGUCACUUAUAGAUGGAUCCGCGCUGCAUUAGCUAGUUGGUAAGGUAACGGCUUACCAAGGCAACGAUGCAUAGCCGACCUGAGAGGGUGACCGGCCACACUGGGACUGAGACACGGUCCAGACUCCUACGGGAGGCAGCAGUAGGGAAUCUUCCGCAAUGGGCGAAAGCCUGACGGAGCAACGCCGCGUGAGUGAUGAAGGUCUUCGGAUCGUAAAACUCUGUUAUUAGGGAAGAACAUAUGUGUAAGUAACUGUGCACAUCUUGACGGUACCUAAUCAGAAAGCCACGGCUAACUACGUG
rnacentral:rRNA from 1 species